GGAGCCUGCGGUUUAAUUUGGACUCAACGCCGGGCAGCUCACCGGAUAAGACAGCUGGAUGAUAGCCGGGCUGAAGACUCUGCUUGACUAGCUGAGAGGAGGUGCAUGGCCGUCGUCAGUUCGUACUGUGAAGCAUCCUGUUAAGUCAGGCAACGAGCGAGACCCACGCCAACAGUUGCCAGCAUGUCCUCCGGGAUGAUGGGGACACUGUUGGGACCGCCUCUGCUAAAGAGGAGGAAGGAAUGGGCAACGGUAGGUCAGCAUGCCCCGAAUUAUCCGGGCUACACGCGGGCUACAAUGGUCAGGACAAUGGGUAUCGACACCGAGAGGUGGAGGCAAUCUCCUAAACCUGUCCUUAGUUCGGAUUGUGGGCUGCAACUCGCCCACAUGAAGCUGGAAUCCGUAGUAAUCGCGUUUCAAAAUAGCGCGGUGAAUAUGUCCCUGCUCCUU
rnacentral:rRNA from 1 species